rnacentral:rRNA from 1 species
GACGAACGCUGGCGGCGUGCUUAACACAUGCAAGUCGAACGGAAAGGCCCUGCUUUUGUGGGGUGCUCGAGUGGCGAACGGGUGAGUAACACGUGAGUAACCUGCCCUUGACUUUGGGAUAACUUCAGGAAACUGGGGCUAAUACCGGAUAGGAGCUCCUGCUGCAUGGUGGGGGUUGGAAAGUUUCGGCGGGUGGGGAUGGACUCGCGGCUUAUCAGCUUGUUGGUGGGGUAGUGGCUUACCAAGGCUUUGACUGGUAGCCCGCCUGGGAGGGUGACCGGCCACAUUGGGACUGAGAUACGGCCCAGUGUCCUACGGGGGGCAGCAGUGGGGAAUAUUGCACAAUGGGCGGAAGCCUGAUGCAGCAACGCCGCGUGCGGAAUGACGGCCUUCGGGUUGUAAACCGCUUUCGCCUGUGACGAAGCGUGAGUGACGGUAAUGGGUAAAGAAGCACCGGCUAACUACGUG